AUAGUUAACUGUGGUAAUAGUCUUUAUUGUGUUAUAUUAAGUUAAAUGUAAGGUGUUGUAUUCAAUCAGUCUCAUAUUUGAAGGUCGCAGCUAUCUAGAAAAUUACAUAACAUCCUUGGAGCAUGGUCAGUAUUAUCUAUCUGUACGUGUCUCAGCCUCCAUCACAAUGACCGCUUGCCACACGUUUGCUGAUACGCCCAACUCAUAUCAAUAUUUUCGGACUACUUCAUCAAUUAUUAUUCAACUUAUGUGGACAUCACUUGGUCAAACUUCUUAGGAAAGCCUUAAUCCCUAUUCUCGGCGCACGAACUAAAAUUUUCUUAUCAAGCUGAUAAUUGAACAUGCAGUAAAUUCGUGACCAUUCAAGGUGUCUAGAGUAUAUAUACUGGCUAGCCCCGGGGGUACCUCACUGUCGAGAGAUCCCCAAUAAAGGAGCUGGCCACAGACACAUUGUUUGGUUUCUUUGAAGGUCCUGUGACAGUUGUCAUGGCCCAUCUGGGACAUCACGUAAUAGCAGGGCUCCUUGGGAAGUGAUGCUCUGUGGGUGGCACACACCGCACAGAUGGAGCACAAAUACCUGAUUGCUGACUGCAUACCUGGCCGAGAAUCUUGAUCCAGGUUAAAACCACACUCUCUGACUCCUCAUGACACUACAGUGACUCGCUGCCUUCUCAUCCUUUAAAGUGGACAAUGCAUGUGGGAUUGAACUUUCUUUUAAUAUCCGAUUAGAAUGAUCUACAUAUACAUUUACAAUCAUACAAGUUCUUCUUUCCGGACAGAUAUAGACAUAAGUCAACUGUGUAUAUACUGAACAGUCGUAGUUAGAACCAUUGAUGUCAUACAUGUGAAAAAGUCGUCGAGGUCUCGUUGGAAUUCCGGGUUAGAAAAGGUCGUCAACAACAUGUGUGUGUCACCCGAGGCGACAUACGAGACUUGGUGACUUGGUUCAUAGCGUGUUAUCGCUCCACGACGGCGUGUGAACUUUGUCCAUGAUAUCAAUCACUGGUUUGUCAGGUCCACACUCGAAUUAAAAGUCGUCGUCCUAUUGCUGGAAUCUUGUUGUGAAUAUGGCGGUAAACCACAAAUAAUUGGUGAGGACAAAUUGCUCAAAUGAGAAUGUUACACAAUCCAAAAUACUUAAAUGCACGGCCCAAUGUUUUAGAUAUCUGAGGAUGAACUUAUGUGUAUUGGUUAAUAUAAAAACCAUAUCGAGUGAUUAAGUAGACUAACACUUUCG